UACGGAGGGGCUAGCGUUGUUCGGAAUUACUGGGCGUAAAGCGCACGUAGGCGGCUUUACAAGUCAGGGGUGAAAGCCCGCGGCUCAACCGCGGAAUUGCCCUUGAGACUGUAUCGCUUGAACACGGGAGAGGUGAGUGGAAUUCCGAGUGUAGAGGUGAAAUUCGUAGAUAUUCGGAGGAACACCAGUGGCGAAGGCGGCUCGCUGGCUCGAUACUGACGCUGAGGUGCGAAAGCGUGGGGAGCAAACAGG
rnacentral:rRNA from 1 species